rnacentral:rRNA from 1 species
AUGCUUGGCGGUCCGGGUAUGGUCCUUGGCGAUCUUGUCAAUCUUGACGGUCCAAACAAAGCAACACAAGGGCCUCGGGUGACAGCGACGACGAACAAAACCCAUGGAGAAGCAGGGGGUGCAGAGGCGUUUGAAAACGGACUUGGCGUUCCUGGAAGAAGAUGGUGGCGGCUGGAACUUGCGGUUGGGUCGACGGAGCAAGCAGCAGCCACGGCGGCGCUGAGGAUCUCGAGGCCGAGCCCAGGCCAUGGCGCUUGGGGCUCCUGUGGUGGCAACGAAGACGGGCAGCAGCGCUCCUGGUCACAGCGGCCUUGGCGCGACGGAGGUGGAGCACAGGAGGGGGCGGAGCAGAGCAGGCGCAAGGACUCGCCGGAUCCAGGCAGAGCAGGCGGCGGAACGAGAGCUUCGGGCGGUGAUCCAUGGCGGUCUCCCGCCUCGUGGUCGCCGGCGGCGGCGCUGGUCCUCGAACGACAAGGCGAGGAGAAGGAGCACGGGGAGGCGGCUCCAUGGACUUGGCGAGGCGGCGGGGAACUGAGUCGAUCCGGCCGGAGUUGA